UUAACUUAAAUUUGUAUGAAAUUGGAACGCUUACCUAUGAUUGCCGCUAGGGGCGCUGUUCCAACGGCAUACAGAUUCGAGUUA
rfam:Bombyx mori DNA, contig: Bm_scaf40_contig23244, strain: p50T/Dazao, build 2, whole genome shotgun sequence.